AAAAUCCGUUGGCUUUAUUGACCGUGAGGGUUCAAGUCCCUCUACCCCCAAAACUAUAAAACCCCCA
rnacentral:tRNA from 1 species